CCUUUGAAAUUGCUAAUUUCUAGUCUUAAAACUAAAUAGCAAAGAGAGAUAACUGUUAUUGAAUAUGACAACUGAUACCUACAAAUAAAUGUCGAGGCAGAGAGGAGGGGUUCCUAAUUAAUUCCCCUGCUCCUCAUGCCCAAUACACCAGGGAUGGCACUGCUUUCCAGAGAUUCCAGAACUUGUCCUGAGAUUCCAGAACUUGUCCUGAAAGGAUUAGGGCCUCGACUCAUUACUUAGAUGUUGCUUGGGUUGGUAGCGUUACCUUGUCCUCAUACCAAGAUUUCUUUCUGGCUCUGCCUUCGUUCUGUGAUAUCUACAAAGGAAGCCAACCCAGGGAAAAGUGCCCUUGGAAAGAAUACGGAUCAGUAGAUUUGAAGGAGUAGCCCUCCCCAUGCCCCAAUUAGAAAACUGAUCAGAACAAUUGCUUAAGAAGUCCACUUAUUAAAGGACUGAAAAAUAUGAAUCAUGAUCAGGGGAUUUAUCAGAAAUAUUAAAAGAAGACAUAUGGGACCGAUUUCCAAAAUAGGAAAGCAUUAUUUCCCUGGAAAUAAUCCAGGGAAAACAUACAACUGGGAAUUUCAACAUUAUGCAAGAAAAUGGAGCAAAUCUUACGAGAGAAAGGCUCGACUCACAAGGAGGAUACAUAAUGUACAGCCGAAUCUGCAAGCUCCUAUUUUGUCAGCUGCUUGUGUUGAUUAAAACUUCAAUAAAGAUCCUG
rnacentral:lncRNA from 1 species